UACGAAGGGGGCUAGCGUUGUUCGGAAUUACUGGGCGUAAAGCGUUUGUAGGCGGUCUUUUAAGCCAGUGGUGAAAGCCCAGGGCUCAACCCUGGGAUUGCCAUUGGUACUGGAAGGCUAGAGAAUGUUAGAGGUUAGUGGAAUUCCUAGUGUAGGAGUGAAAUCCGUAGAGAUUAGGAGGAAUAUCGAUGGCGAAGGCAGCUAACUGGGACAUUUCUGACGCUGAGAAACGAAAGCGUGGGUAGCAAACAGG
rnacentral:rRNA from 1 species